rnacentral:tRNA from 1 species
ACAGUGGUGGCUCAGUAGUAGAGUUCUUGCCUUCCAUGCAGGAGACCCAGGUUUGAUUCCUGGCCACUGCA